GACGAACGCUGGCGGCGUGCUUAACACAUGCAAGUCGAACGGAAAGACCCUGCUUUUGUGGGGUGCUCGAGUGGCGAACGGGUGAGUAACACGUGAGUAACCUGCCCUUGACUUUGGGAUAACUUCAGGAAACUGGGGCUAAUACCGGAUAGGAGCUCCUGCUGCAUGGUGGGGGUUGGAAAGUUUCGGCGGUUGGGGAUGGACUCGCGGCUUAUCAGCUUGUUGGUGGGGUAGUGGCUUACCAAGGCUUUGACGGGUAGCCGGCCUGAGAGGGUGACCGGCCACAUUGGGACUGAGAUACGGCCCAGACUGCUACGGGAGGCAGCAGUGGGGAAUAUUGCACAAUGGGAGGAAGCGUGAUGAAGCAACGCCGCGUGCGGGAUGACGGCCUUCGGGUUGUAAACCGCUUUCGCCUGUGACGAAGCGUGAGUGACGGUAAUGGGUAAAGAAGCACCGGCUAACUACGUG
rnacentral:rRNA from 1 species